GCUCUGGCUCUGUGCAGCUGCGUUAAAUAUCCAGAUAUUCUAAAAUAUCUCGGAUGGAUAUCUAUCUGAAAUACAUAGACUGAAAAAAAUCAACUUGAGCUAUGAGCGCUAAAAGCAACGUAUUCGAAGAUGUAUGCGCAAAUACACCAAUUUAUUUUGUAUGUUUAAAGAUGACGAUCAGUCUAUCUUUAACUGCCGAGUUUCACAGGGAUUGGAUUACGAUUAUUGAGCUACCUUUAGACUAAAGAAAACAAGACACUCAAUUUCUCAAUGUGAAAUGAGAUUUGAGUUUACUUGAUCUGCUGGAGGCUCAAAAAAGAAUGAAUAUACUAGGAGUGCACCACCAGUUUAUAGAAAUUGUGCACUCAAUUAAAUGCAUUCACAACCUAAUUAUUGUCGGUCAAACAAAAUACAUGAAAGAACUCUGAAAAUGGCGAAAUAAAUUGAAACAAGUGUUCAAACAUGAACGAAUUGGUGAGUUACGGUUGGUACGAAAUGAAAUGAAAUAAAAAGAGAAAAGUUAUUACAAAAAUAUUUACUUUCUGGAGAAAUUCAUCUGUGCUUCUGCGAUUCUCAGAAUACCAAAUGUUGUGUUGUUAUAUUAAAGCCUUUAAUUUAAAGGUAGGCAAUAGCUAUAAAUACUGCAUGAAAAUUAGUUCAAAACACCAGUAACCAUUCGCUCUCAAGCAAGUGCAUAUUCAAAUUUAUAAAAGAAAUAAAAAAGCUUGAAAAAUGAAUUCAAAAGCAAUCGUACUCUUUGUAGCAGUCAUUUUAUUUGCUGUGACCGUAUACUCUCAAUAUACUUCCCGUCCGACCAUCCAACAGGGAUCAAGAGGCCAAGCAGUAAGAGACCUUCAAAUAAAGCUCAAUGAAUACGGAUACGGGCUCGAAGUCGACGGCAUCUUCGGCCCCAAAACUAAAAGCGCCGUGAUAUCGUUCCAGCAGUUAACCGAGAUCGAUGUCGACGGCAUCGUCGGCCCACAGACUUGGGGGGCUCUGGGCCUCUAAUGAGCCCCUCUGUCGCUGUCACCAUUGACAUAUAUUCAUUUAUUUUAUUUUCAUUUCAUUUUUAUUUUAUUUUCAAGCACCAAAUGAACGACGGAAUGUUCAACGACGACAAAUUUGCCAAAUAUGUUUAAUGUGAUCGUCGUUUAAAUGCAACUUUCUUUGGCGAUUUUCGUUUAAAUGGGCGUUCUGCAUCUAUAUUAAUCAUUUUGAUUGUCAUCAUUUCGCUGUUUCGGAUGAAAGUCGAAUAUGCAAAUUGUUGAACAAAAAGUCACUGCCGAUUACAUUGAAAGGGAUUUAAACAACGACAACUUUACUCCGGUCGACUAUCAUGUCAUCAGCUCAUGUCAUUUUUCAGCCGAUUCAAUUUGUAUUGUUACAAAGUCGAUUUCAAUUGAAAUGAAUAAUUGUUGCAUAAAAUGUUUCUCUUUUUAAAAAUCAUAUGUUCACAAAA